ensembl:lncRNA
GAUCAAAGAUGGAGUCACCGGCUGAGCAAAGAGCCUGGCAGGAGAAAAACAGGCUUUACUUCGAGCUUCUCUGUCACAUACGCCUUUCCCCUACCCACCUCACUGGCCCAACACUGAGAAGAAGAAAGAAGAAUUGAUCAAGGCUCCCCGGCCCUUGGGGAGGCAUCACACACAGCAUCAGUCAUGCAGUCGUGGGUGUUAAGUUGAAAAAAAAAUGAAUACUCUCCACCCCAAACUAAAUGGAAUGAAAGAAGGAAAUACUUGCGUAUGAAUAGCAGGCUGCCCUCUCAAGAUAGCUCCACCAUCUGGAGGCGAGCCCAGGAGGCAGGAGAGGGAACUGUUCCUGAGUUUCUUAAUCACAGCUCUCAGGGGGCAUCCGCUGCAGCCAGCUGCCCACGACCUCAGCACACAGCUCUUGGCACAACUGCUGGUAAUCAAGGGCCCAGAGGCUGCUCAAACGGAGCUUAAUGUCUGCUGGGGGUGGGGGCACAUAGAGCUGAAACAAAUACAGAACCAUAAACGAUGCUGUGCUCCUAAAGAGAAGAGCCAGGUGCCAAGAGUGGGGAGGCAGAAAAAUAUGUCUAGGGAGGAAGCCAGAAGACACGAGAAAGACCCUCAGAGGGACCCUAACUUGGAGUCUCCUUCACUGGAGACCCCAUUCUCUGUCCAGCGCCAAAGGACACAUUCCCAACUCUGCUCCCAACUGAUUGUGUGACCUUGAACAAGUCACUCACCCCUCUGGGUAUCUGCUGCCUCAUAUGUGAAAUGAAUGCAUCACUUUAGGUCACAGUUACCCCACCUGGGAUGCACAGGUAGGCUUUAAGAGGGUCCAAGAC